rnacentral:piRNA from 1 species
UGUAUGAAUGGUCACUCUCCUCC